rnacentral:lncRNA from 1 species
UCCCCGCAGCAAGUCACUAACAGCCACGCCAGUCCUGGGAGCUUUCUGCCCGUGGCCCAACCGGGACAAGGCGUUUCUGCGGCCGCAGUAGCGGCCAGGUCACCUCUGAGUGCAGGUGCCGGGAGGAGCGGCUCCCGAUCCCGCUGACGGUCAGGCUGCGAGGGCACCGGGCUUUCCGCAGGAGAACGGGUUCUAAGGAAGUCGGGGGAAUCAGAUGAAAUCAAAGGAAUUAAGCCGGGGAGGAAUUUUGCCUGCAUAUUCCCACCCUCUGCCCACAUGCAUGGGAAAGGGGAAAAUUGCCUCACGUAUUCUUC